GCAAAAUGACACCGUAACUUCGGGAGAAGGUGUGCCCUCUGUACGUGAAGCCCCUUGCGGGUGGAGCGGAAGAGGGUUGCAGAGAAACGGGGGUAGCGACUGUUUACCAAAAACCCAGCACUGUGCGAAGUCGGAAGACGACGUAUACGGUGUGAUGCCUGCCCGGUGCCGGAAGGUUAAGGGGAGUUGUCAGCCGCAAGGCAAAGCAGCGAACCGAAGCCCCGGUAAACGGCGGCCGUAACAAUAACGGUCCUAAGGUAGCGAAAUUCCUUGUCGGGUAAGUUCCGACCUGCACGAAUGGCAUAACGACUUCCCCACUGUCUCGAGCAGGGACUCAGCGAAGUAGCACUAGGGGUGAAGAUACCCUUUACCCGCGGCAGGACGGAAAGACCCCGUGAACCUUUACUGUAACUUGGCACUGAACUUCGGGUUCGUUUGCGUAGGAUAGGUGGGACGCUAGGAAGCAUGGACUCCGGUCUGUGUGGAGCGGCCGUUGAAAUACCACCCUGACGAAUCUGGAGUUCUAACCUGCACCCGUGAGCCGGGUGGGGGACAAUGCCUGGUGGGCAGUUUGACUGGGGCGGUCGCCUCCCAAAGAGUAACGGAGGCGCGCGAAGGUUCCCUCAGGCUGAUUGGAAACCAGCCGACGAGUGUAAUGUCAUAAGGGAGCUUGACUGCGAGACUGACAAGUCGAGCAGGUGCGAAAGCAGGUCAUAGUGAUCCGGUGGUUCUGAAUGGAAGGGCCAUCGCUCAACGGAUAAAAGGUACUCCGGGGAUAACAGGCUUAUCACGCCCAAGAGUUCACAUCGACGGCGUGGUUUGGCACCUCGAUGUCGGCUCAUCGCAUCCUGGGGCUGAAGUUGGUCCCAAGGGUUUGGCUGUUCGCCAAUUAAAGCGGUACGCGAGCUGGGUUCAAAACGUCGUGAGACAGUUUGGUCCCUAUCCGCCGUGGGCGCAGGACGCUUGAGAGGAUCUGUCCUUAGUACGAGAGGACCGGGAUGGACGGACCGCUAGUGUUCCGGUUGUGGCGCCAGCUGCAAUGCCGGGUAGCUAUGUUCGGAAGGGAUAACCGCUGAAAGCAUCUAAGCGGGAAGCCCACCUCGAGAUAAGGCGUCCCUGAGACUUCGGUCUCCUGAAGACCCCAUGUAGACCACGUGGUUGAUAGGCUGGGUGUGGAAGCGCUGCAAGGCGCGGAGCUAACCAGUACUAAUCGGUCGUGAGGCUUGACCAC
rnacentral:rRNA from 1 species